CUUUCCUACGGGAGGCAGCAGUGGGGAAUAUUGCACAAUGGGGGAAACCCUGAUGCAGCAACGCCGCGUGAGUGAAGAAGUAUUUCGGUAUGUAAAGCUCUAUCAGCAGGGAAGAAGAUGACGGUACCUGAAUAAGAAGCCCCGGCUAACUACGUGCCAGCAGCCGCGGUAAUACGUAGGGGGCAAGCGUUAUCCGGAUUUACUGGGUGUAAAGGGAGCGCAGACGGCAGUGCAAGUCUGGAGUGAAAGGCCGGGGCCCAACCCCGGGACUGCUCUGGAAACUAUUGAACUUGAGUGCAGGAGCG
rnacentral:rRNA from 1 species